UGGUCUCCAUGGUUCCAUCAGGCCCCACUGCGUCACAAUGGUCUCUAGAUUCCAUGAAGCCCCGCUGUGUAGCCAUGGCACCUUGGUUCCAUGGGCUCCAGUGGUGCCAGAAUGAUCCCCUUGGUUUCAUUAGGUCCCCACAGUGUCCCAGUGAUCUCCUUGGGAAGGAAAGAACCCAGCCCCAGUGUUUCAGGGACAGUCACCAGAAGCCAAGUGUCAUAGGUUGACAAGGAAGUUUCCUGCGGUCAGGAUGACCCUAAGAGUCUUUUCUUCCUGAUGGUCGAAGAAGGAGUCAGAAUUCCUUGGCUCUGGUUUUCAAGCAAUCCAAAAGUGCCAGCAUCACCAGGAAGAUGGAGGCUAGGAAGAAGAAGGAAGAAGGACAGGACAACACCCAAAUCCCUCCAUCUUGCCUCUUAGACCCCUAUAGUAAAAUCCCUACAAUUCCACUUUGCACCCUGUGACAAAUUCAUUAUCAUUCUACUUAAAA